GGUCUCAGUUCUUUGGCUUCCCACCCCUCUGCAGGAAUGCUCCUGUGUGUGUGUGUGUAGGGGAGGGUGUGUGUGUAGAGGUGAGGACUGCAGCCCCCCAACACCUCGGUCCCAGCUGUGCUCUGAGCCCCAAGUGCACGAGACUGAGGAAUGUGAGGCCAGGGCCUGCCUGAGGGGACUUUGUAUCCGAGCCCUAGCACCUGACACGGUUUCCUAAACAAACAUGUCCCGAGGGCCCUCUAAGUGCCCAGCCUGGCCAAGACAGACCACUGGUCCUUUCCUCAGGACUUGUGCCAGCUGGGUCAGGGGGCGAGGAGGAGGAACCGUGCAGAGGAUGUGUGUGCGCCGUGAUGCGUGUGUGCUUGGGCCCCGGGUGAUGGGCCUGAUGAUUCUUUGCAGCAGGACGCAAACGCACCUUCCCCGGCCUCUCCACAAAAUCUCUGGGAGCUUGAAGACACCCCGUGGCCAUCCAGGGCGGGCGGGCUCCCCCCCACCGGAUUCCUGUCUAAACAAACGCUGAGGAAGUCAGACUGAACUAGUGUUUCCUUUCCCGGAGGUGAGAAUGAACUGAAGCUCACAGAGGGCAGGGGAUUGCACAAGAUCACAGCCACAGGCCUCACCUGUGCUAUGCUCUCUUCUGGAAGAAAAAUCCACCCUUCCCGUCUCUGUGUGGCUGAAUGGUGUCUAUUCCUAAGGCCCAGUCCAAAGUCACCUCCUCUAGGAAGCCCUCCCUGGGCUCUCCUUGGAUUUCUAGGAGAACCCAAGAGACAAGGAAAGUCGGGGAACCAACCACAAGAUCACAGCGUUGCCCAGAGCACCCACAGCCAGGUCGACCAGCCCAUCCUCAUUGAGGUCCAGCUGCCCGUGGACGCUGCAGCCGAAAUACUGGAGGCCAGGAGCGAGCUCGGAGGCUGAGAUUCUCUGCAGAGGGUGGACAGGGAGUGCGGAGAGUAGGCAUUGGUGGCUAAGGAAGGGUAGGGCCACCUUACCCUAAGGGGUGCAGCUAUCAUUGGGAGUCAGGGCCAGAGCCCCCUUGAAACCAUCAGAAGUUUCCCCAGACCACAUCUGUGCCUCCUCUGGCCUGUCAUAGCCCCUACCUUCAUGCACGUCCUACCGUGAAGUCAUUCUUUGGGAUUAAAUAUCGUAUCUCAGAAGCCCUCAUGCAGAGGGCUGACGCACGCCACAUGGAUGAACCUUGAAGACUUAAUGAUAAAGUGAAAGAAGCUAGACACACGAGCCCACACAUUCUAUCAAUUCAUGUAUCUGAAAUACACGGAUCUGGCCAUUCUAUGGCGGCCAAAAGUAGAUUAGUAGUUGCCAGGGAUUGGGGACUAGAGAGAGAGAGGACUAAUGGGGAGUAACUGCAAGUGGACACCGAAUUUUUAAGGGGUACAAAAAUGUUUUAAAAAUUAGAUUGUGAUGACUUAUAAACUUUGUGAAUAUACCCCCAAAAUUCAAUUACACUCUCUAAAUAGGUAGAAUAUAUAGUAUGCAAAUUGGAUCUGGAAAGUGGGUAAAAAAAAGACUUCCCCCAUUCAGUAUAAAUACACCUGUUAUGAUGAAAAAUACAACUUUCCUCUGGUUCCUAAAUGCUUCCUCCCCGCCCCCACUAUCAUGAUCCAAA